rnacentral:rRNA from 1 species
UACGUAGGGUGCGAGCGUUGUUCGGAAUUACUGGGCGUAAAGGGCUCGUAGGUGGCCAACUAAGUCAGACGUGAAAUCCCUCGGCUUAACCGGGGAACUGCGUCUGAUACUGGAUGGCUUGAGUUUGGGAGAGGGAUGCGGAAUUCCAGGUGUAGCGGUGAAAUGCGUAGAUAUCUGGAGGAACACCGGUGGCGAAGGCGGCAUCCUGGACCAACACUGACACUGAGGAGCGAAAGCCAGGGGAGCAAACGGG